rnacentral:rRNA from 1 species
ACUUAGUGGCGGACGGGUGAGUAACGCGUGGGUAACCUGGCCCAUACAGGGGGAUAACACUUAGAAAUAGGUGCUAAUACCGCAUAACAACAGAAAGCGCAUGCUUUUGUUUGAAAACCAAGGUGGUAUGGGAUGGACCCGCGUCUGAUUAGCUGGUUGGCGGGGUAAAGGCCCACCAAGGCAACGAUCAGUAGCCGGCCUGAGAGGGUGGACGGCCACAUUGGGACUGAGACACGGCCCAGACUCCUACGGAAGGCAGCAG